GUCCAAGAGGACGUUCUCGAGCAGCUCCGAAAACAAGAUACCAAAGGGAUCGCAAGACUUUCGCUCCCGAAACUAAAUGCAGUCCCCAAUUAUUAUUUCGGGGCGGUGUAAUAACGAGCCACUAAAGCGUUUAUUUCGAGUGGCUCUAAAAAUCGGCCACGAACGCCCGGUGGGAUGUUUGCGUUUGGGACAUAGUAAGGUGUCGUUUAAAACGUGAAAUUUACGAUCGUGUCGUCGAAUCGCGGCUACUUCGUACCGCGGUGGAACGCAAUUUCCACGGGAACGUUCCGCGGAGUAUCGAAAGGCUCGUACCCAAGGCUCGCGGCAGAACGAAUGAUAUAAAUACAUCGAGACGAGAGACGAGUCGUUAAAAUCACUGUUCGACGUCUCCGCGGUGCUUGAUUAACGCGAUGCCUAUUUUCGAAGGCUGCCGGCGAUGAUUUAUGGCGACAUUCUUUUCGAUCUCCUUCGCGCGGUAUCUGCUACAUUUCAGGCGAGUCAGAGGAGCCUCAUCUGUCACGCGUGGAUUUAAAACCGGACGGAAAAAUGGGACACGGACGAUACACCGUCGUAAUAAGUAGAUAGGUGCAGAGAACUUUUCUUCGUUCGCCCUCAAGUAUCGAAUGAUAAUUCAGGUUGUCAGGGGUAGAGGAAGCAGCGUCUCUUCGAUCGUUAGGACAACGCUUCGAGGAAUAAGUUUCACAGAACCUCUUCGAGCAACGUGAAUGCAGAAUUAUUUGAAACGGUUGAACUCGUAGAAGUAUAACAUAAGAGCACGAGCACCAGAUAAACGUGAGAAGGGCACGUACGAGGUCCUCUUCGGAAUGGUACCGAUAACAAGUGGAUAACACGCAUGGUAAAAUAAUAACAAAUAUUACCAACAAGAAAUCUGAACCUGGUCCAGAAUGUUGUCCAUCGCGUAACAUUGUUAUGAAGUUGGUAAAUGUGAUAAAUUAUGGAACCGUCCAUAAUGAUAUUAUGGAUUUCCAUUACGAGUUGGGGAUUGUAUUAAACUUUAGUGAGGAUUAUGCAUAAUCGCCAGUUUAUUAUUAAGUUGUCCCAAAAGUUUCUUCGAUUUCGUUAAUAAGUAAUACAUACAGAACGUUUUAUGUCUAAUGUUAUGUUACAUUCCAUUAUCAUUAUUACGUUAACAUCGAAGAAAUUAAGUUACCUAUAUUUUAUAAACAUUGUCCACAAAAUGAGUGCAAGCCACGAAAGUAACUUUUGGAACAACCUGAUAGAUUUACUUUAACAAAUCGAUAUUACCCCAUCGCGAAAAGGGGAACCGAUCUGAGUCACUGUCUUGGUCGUGACCUUUCGCUCGAUGACUAAUUUUCCCCGGUGAUCUUAUGCUAAAAGCUCCGUGUAGCCAACGCGGGGACGAACAAUCGCUGUGAAGGCGGUUUUCAUUGUCUCGUCUAGUCAUGCACGAUGCCGUCAUGCUCGUCAGAGAUGUGUCGGCGAAACGGGCGUAAGAGCCGCUUCAACCUCCUCGUCGCGGAAAGAUAUUCACCUCGCGAGAAGGAAUUAAUCGAACACCUGGUUUCUCGUUAUGUUUCAACGCUCGAUGAAUUUUCACCGGCGCGAACGAGACGGCCGGUACCUGCAUCGGUUUUCCACGAGCGUCAGACACAAUUAACGAUAGGCCAACGAUUGCUUAAUUACUGUCGCGUUACGUGAACGCCGAUAAAUGGUAAAAAAAAACAACGAGCCGAAUCACCUGCGGGUAGUCGAAUACGAUAUCGCGAACGAAAACGAAAAGUAACUACGAUAUCAACUUUCUUAUUUCAUUAGGUGUGGAAAUUAAUUCUGUGCCUUUCUAUGGUAAACUUGCCAUUUAUGUAAAUUCACCAUUCGCAAAUAGAAAGUUAAUCAUACUUUAAUGAAAGCGUACAUCUUCGCUUCGCUUCGAGAGAGUGUGGAAUAUAGAAUAGACGAAUUCAUUGCGUUUUCGAGACGAACACCAUAGAUUUAUCGUGGUCGCUUUUUGUUUCGAGUAAUGUCGUUACGGAAGUCUACUCCAUAAAUGCAUUAGCGACAGGCGUUGUAAAUCUUUUUCUCGGCGCGUUGUCGUCAGGUUUUUUUUUUUUUCGUUCUCGAAUCGUCUAAAUUUAUCAGUCUUCGAGUAGAACUUUCUAUCUCGCGCCCAAUUAGGGAGCUGAAAGUCAUGUUGUCUACCAAUUUGCGAUGCCAUGAGAAUUUCUUCUGAUUCUGUAUCGAUUUCAACCAGUGUUUCGCUUUUCAUUGUAGAACCGGGUCGUGGAUCCGACGUGCGAUUUUCUCUCAGCGGCGUCUGUGACGCGCGAUUCGAUCGGCUACACUUUCUAGCGCGCGUAAACGAGCGGGUUAUCGCCGUGUAUAUUUUUCUUCGUUUCAGAAACGGGGUCGAUGAAGGUUCGCGUCAUCUCGCGAUGACUCAAAGGAAGAGUGGACCUUCGUUGGAUUUGCUCACCUUCGUGAGAGAAUUGCCGACUUCGAGCAGAGGACAACGCUGAACACUCCAUUUGCAUAGAAAUAUUUCAAUCAAAUUAGAACCACACAAAAUAAUUGAGUGCAAGUCACGGAAGAAACUUUUGGGACAACCUAAUAUAUGAAUGUUAGGCGGGACCGAGUGCUUGCGAGAAACGAGCGGUUUCCCGCUGGUGGCGAGGACAGGAGGUGCCACACUUGCUUCGUACUUUCAGUACGAAUUAUAAUUCACCGAAUAACUGUUCGAAAGUUGAACAAAUCGUAGGGCUAUCCGUAAAAAUGAUCCUUCGGGAGCAAUUCCCAACGCUGCAACGACCAGAAUGCCGUGCAUACAAGUUUCUGACAUUGCCAGCCAGCGUUCCACGAGUUAGGAGUUACGCUGUUACUCAUCCGCAGGAGGGAACUCGCGUAAAGGGAAACACGGACUUCUUUGGUCUUCUCCAUAGAAGAUUGGAACAUUGAAGUUAUCAAAUGGAGAUGAUGACAAUGCACAAGGUUUCUCGGCGUGAAUUUUGGGAACGGAAACACAACGUCCAAAGAAUACUGGCCGACUUCGAUUUCCGUUUGGCGCUAAUUGGACUGACAAGAGGACGCUUUGGUUACUCCGAAGGCGAAAGAAAGAGAUACGUGUCCUGGCGCUUGAUCGAGCGGGCCUUAGUUUCGGAGUAUAAUAAAUUUGUGAAAAUUGAAAUUUAUUGCAUUUUUUUUUAUUUUUUUUUCUUUUUUUUUUGAUAAUACUGACAUCGUAUGCAAAUUUUCGAAGUAGAAAUUAUAUUAUCACGUUACGAACGUUACGGUAAAUUUCAUUUCCAGAUACAUUUAAUUCAAGUAGUAAUAUUCGUAGCGGUAUAUUUUUCAUAUUUUUUUCUCUUUUUUUAAUUUUGUAAUUAAAAGAUCACGUUGCGACGUUCGUUUACUCUUCCUCCUCUUUUACUAAUUAUUUUAAAAACCAGAAAUCUAAAAUACCGUUAAUAUUAUUUCCAACGAAAUUUUAAACUUGAACGAUCGAAAAUUCGAAUACGUUACCUUUCUAUCAUUAUUAUUACUUUAAAUAUCGCUACUUGAAUUAAAAGUCUCUUAAAAUUAACUUUACAAUAACGUUCGUAACGCGAUAAUAUAAUUUCUACUUCGAAGAUUUACAUACUAUAUCGUCGAUAAAAAGAAAAAAAAAAAGGAAGAAAAAAAUGAAUAUUGAAUUUUCACAAAUUUAUUACGGCGAAACUAGAAGCCCUAUUCAAUCGAAUGCCGGGGCACGUGCCUGUCUUUUUUCACCUGCGGAAUAAUCAACGAAAUUGGCAUCGAGAUCCCAGCGCGAGAUACCCGAGCUUCUCUCCUGUUGCCGACAAGAAUCCGAGAGUCUAAGUAAACAGUUCGUGAGUUUCUGCAAAGUAACUAUUUUACACGCUAAUUUCAGUGUACUCUAGCGAAAGAUUCCGCACAAGCUACGGUAUACGUUGAAUUAUUCAGGCGUGACAGAUCAAUCGGCGACGAAGUCACAGACGUAAGCUAUUUUUUCAGCUCGAAUCAGCUGAACGUGGCACCGAAUCGUACCGCGCUAAAAUCGUAGCACCUCGAGUGCUGGAUCGGCGAUUUCUGUUUGUCGAGUCCCUAGAAAACACGGAGGCGCCGUUACGCCGAAUUGUUACCGCGAUAAUUAAUAAGCACGCAUUAAUAACGAGGACGAUCCGAAGCGAGGAGAAUCGUCACGUCGUCGAGGACAAAUUAUUAUUUCAAAGGCGUGUCGCUCGACGCAACGAGAAUGCAAACGACGAACAAUGUCGAAAGGUGACGAGAAGAUUAAUACAAACUCUUCGGCUGCUGAUCGACGAGUCACGGUAUACCGGGAUAUAAAUAAAAUUACCAGCUUCCUUUCUUUUCUUUUCUUUUUUUUUAACGACUUCUUUUCGGUCCGAACUUUACCUCGAGGCGCUAACAAUUAUCGACUAUUUUUCUUUUACACCAUUUAGUAGUACGAUGGUUAGAUCACAAGAAUCGAAGUUUUAAUGUUAGAAAUCCAAUAAUGCGAGGCCAUGUCCGUCCGGAACGUUUUAUCCAACGCUCCGUUCAUCGAUUACGUAGAGAAUGACAUUAAAAUCUCGUAAAACAUGUUACGAAAAUACUGUCCGAGUAGGUUUGGGGUCUGAUUGACCAACGGAGCGUCGGUACAAGCUAAUGCGACAAAAGUCCUCGGAUU